rnacentral:rRNA from 1 species
CAAUAGCGUAUAUUAAAGUUGUUGCGGUAAAAAAGCUCGUAGUUGGAUUUCUACCGAAGAUAGCCGGUCGGGUCUCCGACCUUGUAUCUGGUUUUGUCUUUGGUAUCCUCAUAGGGAACGUUUCUGCGCUUUAUUGCGUGGUGCGGUAUCUAUGACUUUUACUUUGAGGAAAUUAGAGUGUUCACGGCAGGCAAACGCCUUGAAUAUAUUAGCAUGGAAUAAUAACAUAGGAUCUUCGUCCUAUUUUGUUGGUUUCUAGGGCUAAGAUAAUGAUUAAUAGGGAUAAUUGGGGGCAUCUGUAUCAACGCGUCAGAGGUGGAAUUCUUGGAUUGCGUUGCGACAAACUACUGCGAAAGCAUUUGCCAAGGAUGUUUUCAUUGA